rnacentral:rRNA from 1 species
GCUGAACGCUAGCUACAGGCUUAACACAUGCAAGUCGAGGGGUAACAAGAGAAAAGCUUGCUUUUCUUGUUGACGACCGGCGCACGGGUGAGUAUCGCGUAUCCAACCUGCCUAUAACUAGGGAAUAACCUUGCGAAAGUAAGACUAAUACCCUAUGAUUUCCUUUGAUGACAUCAGAUUAGGAAUAAAGAUUUAUCCGUUAUAGAUGGGGAUGCUUCUAGUUAGCUAGUUGGCGGGGUAACGGCCCACCAAGGCAACGAUCAGUAGGGGUGCUGAGAGGAAGGUCCCCCACAUUGGAACUGAGACACGGUCCAAACUCCUACGGGAGGCAACAGUGAGGAAUAUUGGGCAAUGGGCGGAAGCCUGAACCAGCCAAGUAGCGUGCAGGAUGACGGCCCUAUGGGUUGUAAACUGCUUUUAUACAGGAAUAAAGUUAGCCACGUGUGGUUAUUUGUAGGUACUGUAUGAAUAAGGACCGGCUAAUUCCGUGCCAGCCGCCGCUGUAA